rnacentral:rRNA from 1 species
UGGUGUGGAAGUGCAGUAAUGCAUGGAGCUGACGAAUACUAAUCGGUCGAGGACUUAUCCACA